rnacentral:tRNA from 1 species
AGGCGCGUAGCUCAGGGGUAGAGCACUACCUUGACACGGUAGGGGUCCGCGGUUCAAAUCCGCGCGCGCCUA